rnacentral:rRNA from 1 species
UACGGGGGGGGGCAAGCGUUGUUCGGAAUUACUGGGCGUAAAGAGCGUGUAGGCGGCCAUGUAGGUCCGUUGUGAAAACUCGAGGCUCAACCUCGAGACGCCGAUGGAAACCAUGGUGGCUAGAGUCCGGAAGAGGAGAGUGGGAAUUCCUGGUGUAGCGGUGAAAUGCGCAGAUAUCAGGAAGAACACCCGGUGGCUAAGGCGGCUCUCUAGUACGGUACUGACGCUGAGACGCGAAAGCGUGGGGAGCAAACAGG